AACUAGGNAUUAGAUACCCUAUUAUAUAUUCCAUUAAAGUGUUUUUCUGUAGGAUUAUUAGUGAUCUAUAAAUUAAAAGAAUUUGGCGGUGUAUUAGACAUUUUAGAGGAACUUGUAUUUUAAUCGAUAAUCCACGAGGAUCUGACCUAUGCUUGUAUUAUCAGCUUGUAUACCGUUGUUUGCAGAUUAUAUAUGUGAAAUAUAUUCGUAAUAAAUAAAUUUAAUAAGUCAAAUCAAGGUGCAGUAUAUGUAUGGGUUAAUAUGAGUUACAAUGAAAUUAAUUUAUGCGGAUUGAUGGUUGAAUAAUUAUCAUUAAGGUGGAUUUAAUUGUAAGUUUUAACGAAUAAUUAAGGUUGAAUUUGCUCUGAUACAUGUACACAUCGCCCGUCGCACUUA
rnacentral:rRNA from 1 species